GUGGUUAAGGCUCCCAGUAGACGACUGGGUUGAUAGGCCAGAUGUGGAAGCCCGGUAACGGGUGGAGCUGACUGGUACUAAUAGGCCGAGGGCUUGUCCU
rnacentral:rRNA from 1 species